AGGAGGGAUCCUGUGCCACCUGUACCAUCAAGAUCAACAUCAAGGUUCUCCCGUGCUUACUCCUACCACACUGCCUAGAAAUCUUGUUUUUUUGCAAAUUUCCUAAGUAAUUCCCCACCCCGGAGGCCGCCCCCAGUACACCUGUUCCCUCCAUCCAUGGUGACCUAAUGUGACCUAGCCUUGAGACCUGCACCUCCACGUGUCAGCUGGGCACUUGUACACUCCACAAUUCUAGAAUUAAUUGAUGAGCUACAGAACUACAGCAUCGUUCAGGUGGCAGCCGGAGACCAGCACUCUCUUGCUCUCACCUCCUGGGGCCUGGCAUGAUGAAGGCGUCAGGCGAUAAACAGUGCACACGCGGGACUGAGUCACUCAGUAAACACAGUGCAGUGGGCCGCGGGUGGCGCGAAGCAGUGCGCUCUGGUGGCGAGGGGACAAAGUAUGCCUUGCGCAGGAAUUUUAAUCGAUUUUAUCUACGCAUGGGGUGACAAUGGGUACGGUCAGCUUGGCGUCAACUCCUGCGACACUCACACUGCCACACCCAAGCUUGUCAAGAGUCUGGCCAGGAAGGUGACAGUGCAGCUGGCCUGUGGCACCAACCACACCCUUGCCUUGACUGCUGAUGGUGAAUUGUACACUUGGGGACAAAAUACCUUCAGCCAGUUGGGACUUAGACACCGACAGGGGCCCCAGAAGGACCCUGCCCUGGUGACCUCCUUGGCUGGCACCCCCUUAGUCCUGCUGGCCGCUGCGGGUCACCACUCUGCUGCUGUGACCCAGGCCGGCUACCUGCUGUUGUGGGGGUCAAACAAGCAGGGUCAACUGGGCUAUACUCCCAAGGGUGAUCCUCUUGUUAGAUCUUCGCUGGGGGGACGUCAGCAUGGCCACCGUCAGCAGGGAGAGUGGGGGUGCUGAGGACUUUUGCAGCCCUCCCCUACCCCGACCAAAUGCCCCUCUCACAAUUCAAGAACAUAUGAUUAAGAAACUUCUGUCAAUUGAGGAAGAAGACAUGAUUGAUGACGAUUUGUUUACAUUCGUACUGGCAUUCAAAACGUGGCCAAGAGUCUUCCUUCGCAUCCCCCAGCCAGGACGCCUUAUGCUGUUAUGUCCUUCUUCCCCUGUACAAGGACUUCACUGACCCUAAACAAACGGCCAAACUCCAAACGCCAUAUGCUGAGGGAGUGUUGAAGCUUGGCAAGGAGAUGGCGGAGGUGUUCAAGAGACCGGCGUGCCCUCGUGUCUUCCCUGCGGCUGUUGUCCCUGGUCCACGGUCUGAACUUCCAAGCCGGCUGCCGAGUGGGGUGGUUGAACUACGACGACUUUUACAUCCCAGAAAUUGCAGAGAAAAUUGAUAUUAGGAAUGAUUACUUGAACUGGAUGAACAGCAGGCUUCACUCGAUGUCCAGGAGGGAGAGUCCAAUCCUGUUCUGUGAGUAUCCAUUCUUAUUCGACCCUCAGGCCAAGACGCUGCUGCUCAGGUGUGACGCCACUCGUCAGAUGCAAGGAGAGAUCCAGGAGGCCGUUUUAAACAGUAACCCCAUGCUGUGGCUCUUUGACCCUGCCCAAGUACAGUUUCUAAACGUACACAUUCGACGCACACACAUCGUAGAGGGCCCCAUCAGCCAACUGCUGCACCACGAGGUCACCGAUUACAAACGGCCAUUGAAGGUCCACUUCAUCGGGGAGGAGGCAGAGGAUGCAGGUGGGGUACGGAAGGAAUUUUUCUUGCUCCUCCUAAGAGAUAUUUUGAAUCCAGACUAUGGUAUGUUUACUGAGUUCCCCGACACAAGAAGGAUUUGGUUCAAGGAGGGAGCUCUGGAGGCGGCUGCUACCUAUGUGUUGAUUGGCAUUGUGUGUGGACUGGCAAUCUACAACUUCACCAUCAUCAACCUGCCCUUCCCAAUUGCACUCCUCCUCCUCCUCCUUUCACUUCCUGAUAUUUUUUCUCUGUUGUUCCCCCACUUCCUCCUCUUCCUCCUUCCUCUUCAUCUUGUUAUUCUUCUUCAUCUUCCUUCUCCUUGUCUUCUGCAUGUUCCUUAUCUCCUCCUCCUCCUCCUUUUAUUAUCGUCUUUAUGAAAUUACAAUAAUCUUUCUUUGUUAUGAAAUGAUAUAAGUAUGGUUCUCUCUCUCUCUCUCUCUCUCUCUCUCUCUCUCUCUCUCUCUCUCUCUCUCUCUCUCUCUCUCUCUCUCUCUCUCUCUCUCCAAA